GACGAACGCUGGCGGCGUGCUUAACACAUGCAAGUCGAACGGAAAGGCCCGGCUUUUGUAUGGUGCUCGUGUGGCGAACGGGUGUGUAACACGUGAGUAUCCUCCCCUUGACUGUGGGAUAACUUCAGGAAACUGGAGCUAAUACCGGAUAGUAACUCCUCCUGCAUGGUGGGUGAUGGAAAGUGUCGGCGGGUGGGGAUGGACUCGCGGCUUAUCAGCUUGUUGGUGUGGUGGUGGCUUACCAAGGCUUUGACGGGUAGCCGGCCUGAGAGGGUGACCGGGCACAUUGGGACUGAGAUACGGGCCAGACACCUACGGGAGGCAGAGGUGGGGAAUAGUGCACAAUAGGCGGAAGGCUGAUGGAGAAACGCCGCGUGGGGGAGGACGGCCUUCGGGGAGUAAACCGCGUUCGCAUGUGACGAAGAGUGAGUGACGGUAAUGGGUAAAGAAGCAACGGCUAACUACGUG
rnacentral:rRNA from 1 species